rnacentral:rRNA from 1 species
UACGUAGGUGGCAAGCGUUGUCCGGAUUUACUGGGCGUAAAGAGCGCGCAGGCGGGCGUGCAAGUCGCGUGUGAAAGCCCCCGGCUCAACUGGGGAGGGUCACGCGAUACUGCUCGACUCGAAGGCAGGAGAGGGAAGUGGAAUUCCCGGUGUAGUGGUGAAAUGCGUAGAUAUCGGGAGGAACACCAGUGGCGAAGGCGACUUCCUGGCCUGUUCUUGACGCUGAGGCGCGAAAGCGUGGGGAGCGAACAGG